AGCGAACGCUGGCGGCAGGCCUAACACAUGCAAGUCGAACGGAUCCUUCGGGAUUAGUGGCGGACGGGUGAGUAACGCGUGGGAACGUGCCCUUUGGUUCGGAACAACUCAGGGAAACUUGAGCUAAUACCGGAUGUGCCCUUCGGGGGAAAGAUUUAUCGCCAUUGGAGCGGCCCGCGUCUGAUUAGCUAGUUGGUGAGGUAACGGCCCACCAAGGCGACGAUCAGUAGCUGGUCUGAGAGGAUGAUCAGCCACACUGGGACUGAGACACGGCCCAGACUCCUACGGGAGGCAGCAGUGGGGAAUCUUGCGCAAUGGGCGAAAGCCUGACGCAGCCAUGCCGCGUGAAUGAUGAAGGUCUUAGGAUUGUAAAAUUCUUUCAGCGGGGACGAUAAUGACGGUACCCGCAGAAGAAGCUCCGGCUAACUUCGUG
rnacentral:rRNA from 1 species